AAAUUACCCACUUUUAAUUUAGAGAGGUAGUGACGAUAAUUAAUAGAGUUGGUCUAUUCGAUCAAUUCAAUUAUAAUGAUUAGAGUUUAAAAAAAUUUAAGAAAUCGAUUGGAGGGCAAGUCUGGUGCCAGCAGCCGCGGUAAUUCCAGCUCCAAUAGUGUAUAUUAAAGUUGUUGUGUUUAAAAAGCUCGUAGUCGAAUUAUAAGUUUUUUAUAAUAGUUUUUAAAAAGACUAAUAUAAAAAAAGGAGAAAGGUUUUUUUAAUCUUUUAUUUACUUUGAAAAAAAUAGAGUGUUUAAAGCAAAAGUUAAUUAAUGUAUAAUGAAGCAUAGGAUAAUAAUGAGGAGAAUAAAUUUUUGAGAACAGUAUUAAAAAGGGAAAUUGGGGUAAUUUAGACAAAAUCGGGAGAGGUGAAAAUUCAUGAUCGAUUUUGGAUAAACUAAAGCGAAAGCAUUUUACUCAUAUUCUUUUAUUUGAUCAAGAACGAAAGUUAGGGGAUCGAAGUCGAUUAGAUACCGUCGUAGUCCUAACUAUAAACUAUGUCAACUGGGGAUUGGAUGAAAAUAAACAAGAAAGAUUGAUUUUCGAUUCGGAAGUUUAUCUUAAUUGUUACUCUCUUAUUCAGGAUUUAAAGGGAAACCUUUAAGUUAAUGGACUUCAGGGGGAGUAUGGUCACAAGGCUGAAACUUAAAGGAAUUGACGGAAGGGCACACCAGGAGUGGAGCCUGCGGCUUAAUUUGACUCAACACGGGAAAACUUACCAAGACCGUACAUUAAAGGAUUGACAGAUUAAUAGUUUUUUCAUGAUAUGAUGGUGAGUGGUGCAUGGCCGUUCUUAGUUGGUGGAGUGAUUUGUCUGGUUAAUUCCGAUAACGAACGAGACUUUAUCUUAUUAAUUGGUUUAGUAAGAGUUUACUUUUACUAAUAAUAUUUUUAUAUACUAUUUAAAAGGACAGACUCUCAUUUUGAAUCAAUUUAAUCAUUGAAUUGGUUUAAAGAAAGAGGAGGAAGCAUGAAGCAAUAACAGGUCCGUUAUG
rnacentral:rRNA from 1 species